AACUGGACACUGAUUGUUUUUUAUGCAGAGAUGCACCAGAUUUUGCACGCUCCAGUUUUAGUAAAUAAACCUGUGUUCCAAACAUCAAAGUCUAACCUUCUACCCUGGUCCUGGACCUGUCUGCAGACAACACAAUUGAUACAGCCUGCUGCAUAAGAAACCUAUGGCCAGGCCGAGCACCAUCACAGUGGUUAUGCUAAGCUGUAUGCAAAUACUACUCUCAGAAAGUCAUUAUUUGCAAAGAAUUUCCACAGGUUCCAGUGCUAUACUGUGGACACAGGGUUAACUGAAAAAGGUAGGAACUGUCACUUUAUAGUGCCUAUACUACAGCGGCAGUGUUCCCUGCUUUAAACUGCUGCUUACAGGUCCUCUUUGAAAAGGCAGCACCUUCUGAACGACUAAAGGUCGAGGUAAUUCUGCGAAUGUGUCGCUACGUAUACAGUGCUGAGGUUUUCAUCACCUUGAAUAAGUCAUUCAUGCAGCGCAGGUGCAGAAUGACCCAAGCCUUUAGUCUUUCAGAGUAAACAAUGUGUAGGCAGUGGUGUCGGUUCAUGUGCAGAAUGACUUGCACAUCUCAACUUAAAUGAACAUAAGUGUAUGUAUAUGUCCAUAUUAGUUGAAAUGCAACAUGGACCACUUUUUACUCAGUAACAUGCAGCUGACAAGAUCUGGUGUAAAUUUAUUACAGAUGUGUGCAUGGGGCCUUAUGAGGUCCCAAUUCUUGUGUCAACCUGUCACAAGGGCUGCUAAUACAGUUUCAACACACAUUACGUGGGCAGUGCCAGAUUUAGACCUUGGGGGGCCUGGAGCACUUUAAGUGAUGGGGCCCCUCAAACAUAAAAAUGAAAGAAUAUGAUAAAUAAAACCGUAAACUUAAAUGAAUGAUAAACUGGAUUAUUUGACUCCCGCCUGGAGUGAUGGGGGACGUUCAUCAUGGGGAUAUUGGAAUACUUUGUCUGCCCCACGGCCAUCAUCUCUGGUUACAUGUCAUCUUCUAUAUGCUUUGAGCGAAUACAAAUCCCCCUGAAGAAGGCCAAAUUGUGGUUGAAACGCGUCAGAGUAUUCUUAUGGAAGCUACUUCAUCAAUGGCACUAUAUAUGAUUCCAUUGUAUCAUUUAACAUUUAAUCAUUGUUGAGAUAGGUCUCCAACUGUCUGUAACCUGAAUGUAUUUUAUAUUACAACUAUCUGCAUCUUCAUUACUCGUGAUACAGAAACCUAGUAAAGAUUUUUUUUUAUA